CCAGUUAGAUAAUGGCGGCCUGUUUUUUUUGUUUUUUUUUCAGGUAGAGACUCGUUUUUUAAGAAGAAAGGAAGCAGAAAGCAGUUUUUACUGAGGAAGUGGUAAGCAGCCUAAAAUAGCGCAAUCAGAUUACCAACUCCAGAAGUUGAAAAAAGCCCUAGACCAUAAGAGAAAAUCUUCUGUGUUUGACAGUACUAGCCACAGCUUUAAAAUCCUUUUAAAGGUUCAGUUUCAAAUCUUUCUGCCAUGAUCACAGGACCACCACGGAGACUUGUGUCCACUUAACUGUAACUGGUCUGGAUAUAAAUUGCCGUGUUGGCUGAGAUUAAGAACAGCUGACACGUAAUGUGUUUGUAAGGUGAAGAUCACAAGACUGAGGAUUCCCAGACCGGCUGCCUUCGAGUCUGGAUUUUCCCUGAGAUCCUGGGAAGCUGCAGGAAUUACUUGUCCUGUUGUGUUGAAGAGGGAGCCCGAGCCACCUGCUUGUUGUGGCUCAUUGGAAAACCCUGUGGCAGUGUUUCUCUUUUUGUUUGGACUAUUUGUUUUUCAUUUCAAGCCUCUGCUUACCAUAGCUGGUAACAGAGGCAGUUUCUUGUGGGAGUUAUAAAUAUAAAAACCAACCCCAACUACGUGCUUCCUGUCUCCAUCACUUCUGUAUCACAUCACUUCCUCCCAUAACCCACCACAUGUACAUAACCAAAAAAAAUGAAAAAACAAAAUUUGGAUGUACACAAAAGGUUUAAAUUAAUUUAUUUCAGGAUAUAUAUAUUGUGGCAGACUAGGGGGAGGAGGAGAGAAAUGUAGUCUAGGACAGGCUAAAGGACUACAUUCCCCAGAAUGCCACAGGACAGAACCAGGAUAAGAUUCAGCAAGUGGGUAUUUAACAAGAAAAAAAUGUUUGUUCAGGGCAGUCUGUAUGAAGGCAAGAGGCUGUCGGUGAGAGGUAAAGGUACUGUGGAGAACCGUGUGUUUAACAGUGUUGUGUGUAAGAGGUAAACAGAUUAGCCGUCCGAUAUAGUUGAGGUGACCAUGUGGCUCCGUGUUCACCGGGACAGUUUGGGACAGUUCUGGCUUUUCAACUCGCAACCUGAGGCAUUCUGGUACGUUUUAACCUGUCUCAGGUACCAUUCUUUCCUUUAAUAGAAACAGGACUAUGCUUACCAGAAUGCAUUAAGUUGUAUGUUGAAAAGCCUGAAGUGUCCCAAACAUUCCCGGUGGACACAGAGCCAUAUGGUCACCUCAGUGCAAGAAAAAACGUUAAGUUUAGUACUCCAAGUGGGAGUUAGGUUUUUGUUUACUUUUGUUUGUUUUGUAAUUAAUAAAAGUGCAUGUAAAUGCUUAAAACCUGCAACUCUGAUGUCUGGGUCGGUGUUUCAA